rnacentral:rRNA from 1 species
GGCGAACGCUGGCGGCGUGCUUAACACAUGCAAGUCGAACGGAAAGGCCCUGCUUGCAGGGUGCUCGAGUGGCGAACGGGUGAGUAACACGUGGGUGAUCUGCCCCUUACUUUGGGAUAAGCCUGGGAAACUGGGUCUAAUACUGGAUAGGACCAUGCUGUAGGUGGUGUGGUGGAAAGAUUAGUUUCGGUAAGGGAUGAGCUCGCGGCCUAUCAGCUUGUUGGUGGGGUAAUGGCCUACCAAGGCGUCGACGGGUAGCCGGCCUGAGAGGGUGGACGGCCACAUUGGGACUGAGAUACGGCCCAGACUCCUACGGGAGGCAGCAGUGGGGAAUAGUGCACAAUGGGCGCAAGCCUGAUGCAGCGACGCCGCGGGGGGGAUGACGGCCUUCGGGUUGUAAACUCCUUUCAGCCAUGACGAAGCCCUUGUGGUGACGGUAGUGGUAGAAGAAGCACCGGCUAACUACGUG